UUGUCUGCAGCGUUAUGUCCGCAUACCCUGACUCCGUCGCAGUAGCCAGUCUAGGGUGCUUGAGCUCCAGGUUUGUUCAGAAGGCAGCCAGUUGUGUCUGUGAAGCUUUUUUGCCUCCAUGAGCAAAAAGAAAGCUCUGGGAUUCGUGGUGCCAUCUGUUCACCGUGUCGGUAGCUCCCCUUUGAAUUGUGAUAAAGCGUUUUCUUCUCGUGCUGUAGGGUCAUCCACUGACCCUGGACCAUUGCCUCCACCACUUCAUCUCAUCAGAAUCCGUGCGGGAUGUUGUGUGUGACAACUGCACAAAGAUUGAAGCCAAAGGGACGUUGAAUGGGGAGAAGGUGGAACACCAGAGGACCACUUUCGUUAAGCAGUUAAAACUAGGGAAGCUCCCUCAGUGUCUGUGCAUCCACCUGCAGCGGCUG